rnacentral:hammerhead_ribozyme from 1 species
AUCCAACUGAUGAGUCCGAAAUAGGAGGAAAAGCGUGUUCUGGAU